rnacentral:rRNA from 1 species
UACGUAGGGGGCAAGCGUUGUCCGGAAUCAUUGGGCGUAAAGCGCGUGUAGGCGGCUCGGUAAGUCCGCUCUGAAAGUCCAGGGCUCAACCCUGGGAUGCGGGUGGAUACUGCCGGGCUCGAGUCCGGAAGAGGCGAGUGGAAUUCCCGGUGUAGCGGUGAAAUGCGCAGAUAUCGGGAGGAAUACCGGUGGCGAAGGCGGCAUCCUGGACCAUUACUGACACUGAACCGCGAAAGCUAGGGGAGCAAACGGG